UCAAGCUACAAAGGGCGCAUGGUGAAUGCCUUGGCAUCAGGAGCCGAUGAAGGACGUGAUAAGCUGCGAUAAGCUUCGGGGAGCUGCAAAUGAGCAUUGAUCCGGAGAUUUCCGAAUGGGGAAACCCACAUAGGCAAUACCUAUGUACCGUGCAUUGAAUAAAAUAGGUGUACGGAGGGAACGCCCUGAACUGAAACAUCUAAGUAGGGGCAGGAAAAGACAUCAACCGAGAUUCCGCAAGUAGUGGCGAGCGAACGCGGAGGAGGCCAAACCGGAGGAUUUAUUCUCCGGGGUUCGGACUGGCAUCACGAUCAGAGGUAUCUAAAAGAACGGCAUGGGAAGGCCGGCCAUAGAGGGUGAGAGCCCCGUAUUUGAAAGAGAAGACUGACAGCCAGAAUCCAGAGUACCACGGGACACGAGGAACCCCGUGGGAAGACGGGUGGACCACCAUCCAAGCCUAAAUACUACCUGAUGACCGAUAGAGGAGCAGUACCGUGAGGGAAAGGUGAAAAGAACCCCGGGAGGGGAGUGAAAGAGAACCUGAAACCCUAUGUUUACAAGCAGUGGGAGCGCAAGCGACCAUGUACUUUUUGUAGAACGGGCCGGCGAGUUACUGUGUGUAGCGAGGUUAAGGUGUAGAGCACCGGAGCCGUAGCGAGAGCGAGUCUCAAAUGGGCGAAUAGUUGCAUACAGUAGACCCGAAACCGGGUGACCUAUCCAUGGACAGGAUGAAGCGGUGGUAAAGCACCGUGGAGGUCCGAACCACACGUAUGUUGAAAAAUGCGGGGAUGAGCUGUGGAUAGCGGAGAAAUUCCAAUCGAACUCGGAGAUAGCUGGUUCUCCCCGAAAUAGCUUUAGGGCUAGCGUCGGAUAUGUGUAGUGGAGGUAGAGCACUGAAUGGGCUAGGGGGCAUAUCGCUUACCGAACCUUAUCAAACUCCGAAUGCCAUAUACAUUUAGUCCGGCAGUCAGACUACGAAUGAUAAGAUCCGUGGUCAAAAGGGAAACAGCCCAGAUCGUCAGCUAAGGUCCCAAAGUGUAAGUUAAGUGGAAAAGGAUGUGGGAUUUCUAAGACAACUAGGAUGUUGGCUUAGAAGCAGCCACUCAUUUAAAGAGUGCGUAAUAGCUCACUAGUCGAGAGAUCCUGCGCCGAAAAUGUCCGGGGCUAAAACUUACCACCGAAGCUACGGGCUUGCGUAAGCAAGCGGUAGGGGAGCGUCGUAAUCGGGCUGAAGUCGUACCGUAAGGAGCGGUGGACUGAUUACGAGUGAGAAUGUUGGCAUUAGUAGCGAGAUGUAGGUGAGAAUCCUACAGGCCGAAUAUCUAAGGUUUCCUCAGGAAGGCUCGUCCGCUGAGGGUUAGUCGGGACCUAAGCCGAGGCCGAAAGGCGUAGGCGAUGGACAACAGGUUGAUAUUCCUGUACCACUACCAUCGUUAUUAUCGAGGGUGUGACGGAGAAGGAUAGUGUGUGCUAGCGAUUGGAAAUGCUAGUCUAAGCGUUUAGGCAGUUACGGUAGGCAAAUCCGCUGUAACGUUAAUGCUGAGGCGUGAUGGGGAAGGCCCUUGAGGCUGAAGUACAUGAUUCCAUGCUUCCAAGAAAAGCAUCUAGAGAGAGAAGUAGUGCCCGUACCGCAAACCGACACAGGUAGAUGAGGAGAGAAUCCUAAGGCCGGCGGAAGAAUUGCAGUUAAGGAACUAGGCAAAUUGACCCCGUAAGUUAGCGAGAAGGGGUGCCUACGAGAGUAGGCCGCAGAGAAUAGGCCCAAGCAACUGUUUAGCAAAAACACAGGUCUCUGCUAAAGCGCAAGCUGAUGUAUAGGGGCUGACGCCUGCCCGGUGCUGGAAGGUUAAGGGGAACACUUAGCGCAAGCGAAGGUGUGAACUUAAGCCCCAGUAAACGGCGGCCGUAACUAUAACGGUCCUAAGGUAGCGAAAUUCCUUGUCAGGUAAGUUCUGACCCGCACGAAUGGCGUAAUGACUUGGGCACUGUCUCAACUGCAAAUCCGGCGAAGUUGUAGUGCGAGUGAAGAUGCUCGCUACCCGCGAUUGGACGGAAAGACCCCGUAGAGCUUUACUGUAGCUUAGCAUUGAAUUCCGGUAUUGUCUGUACAGGAUAGGUGGGAGACUGGGAAACUAGGGCGUCAGCCUUAGUGGAGUCAUCCUUGGGAUACCACCCUGACAGUACUGGGGUUCUAACAGGAUGCCAUGAAUCUGGUGACUGGACAUUGUUAGGUGGGCAGUUUGACUGGGGCGGUCGCCUCCUAAAAAGUAACGGAGGCGCCCAAAGGUUCCCUCAGAACGGUCGGAAAUCGUUCGUAGAGUGCAAAGGCAGAAGGGAGCCUGACUGCGAGACCUACAAGUCGAGCAGGGACGAAAGUCGGGCUUAGUGAUCCGGUGGUACCUCGUGGGAGGGCCAUCGCUCAACGGAUAAAAGCUACCUCGGGGAUAACAGGCUGAUCUCCCCCAAGAGUCCACAUCGACGGGGAGGUUUGGCACCUCGAUGUCGGCUCGUCGCAUCCUGGGGCUGUAGUAGGUCCCAAGGGUUGGGCUGUUCGCCCAUUAAAGCGGUACGCGAGCUGGGUUCAGAACGU
rnacentral:rRNA from 1 species